UACAAUUUGGAGGACAUGAACGAGGACAUGUUGACGUACCUCAAUCGGCUCUUCUCCAAACGAUACAAGCAGUGGAAGAGUGACCUGCACCAAUAUUUCGAGCAAUUUGAUGAUUUGCAGGUCGCACUCGAGGAGGGUUGCCCGAAGGAGUUCAAGGACCGAUAAGAUGGUUAGGUUUGGCUCUAUGGUCAUUUUUAGGAGCCAAGCUAUGUGGUGCGUUUUUAAUUACGACUUCUUUCAUUUUACUUUUUUUAAUUUUUACUAAUGUUUAUUAUUAUUUUUUUUAUUUUCUUUAAGUAUUACAACUAAUAUGUUUAUUUUUUGUAUAACAAAAUAAGUCAAAGGUGAACAAGAUCAAUUGGAAGAAGAAGGCUCUUCUCCACCAUUCGGGUUCAAGGCCUUUCUUCUAUAGGAUGGAGGUGCGGCAAAGGGAGGGUUCAAAAUUUUCAGAGAUCAACGCCUUUGCUGAUGUUUAUGUUCAGCCUGGGGAUGAGUUGACUCAGUCCCUUCAUGCAACUAUGGUGGAGAAGGGUCAGUCGGUGCUUCAGGAGUCCACCUCCCAACUUCCCUCAGACAUGCCUAUUGAGUUUGUGGAUCCCCCUGAGGAUGCGGGGUUUCACAUCCUGCUAUAGACGUUGGACUAGACUUUUGGUCGGAGGCCAGGGACAUAUUGUCGGGGGAUGGGAAAUGCCAGGCAGUGGGAGAGUGGAGCCUCAUCAUCCUCGCAGUCAAGGGGCCAGGUUAUGGCUUUGACGCAGGAAGUCACUGGUCUGAGUUGAAUUAUAUGGCAGGAAUUAAUUUUCUGUUAUUUCACAAGAAUAAUAUAUGUACAUCCA